rnacentral:rRNA from 1 species
AUGUCUAUGCACCCUAUGUCGCUCUCCUUACAACCCUUCACUGCAAAUUCAAUAAACACAUAUUCUUUAAGGAGCACUAGUGCGAAUUAUGACCGUGGUUUUAUAAAGUUGGUGCCAAUUGGAAGUAGUGGACAUUGGGUCACAAAUUUCAGACCAAAUUCUGCGUCUAGGCCUGAAACUUCUGUAGGACAUGAUUGUGUAGUGGGAGAGAAUGAUGGUGUGAUCAUAGUUGAUCACGGGUCACGUCGACAAGAAUCUAAUCUCAUGCUACAUGAUUUUGUUAGCAUGUUCAAGGCCAGGACUUGCUACAAUAUUGUUGAGCCUGCUCACAUGGAGCUGGCUGAGCCUACUAUUAAGGAAGCAUUUGGAAAAUGUGUGCAGCAGGGAGCAUCUCGCAUUAUUGUCAGUCCAUAUUUCCUUUCCCCUGGACGACACUGGAAGCAAGAUAUCCCUUCUUUAGCAUCAGAAGCCUCUAAAGAGCACUCAAGCGUACCCUACAUCAUCACGGCUCCUCUUGGAUUACAUGAGCUUAUGGUGGAUAUUAUGAACGAUCGCACCAAAUACUGCCUGAGGCACGCUGCAGGUGGAGUCGAUGAGUGUACGGUAUGUGCCGGGACUGGAAAGUGCCAUUUUUACUCUUGA